rnacentral:rRNA from 1 species
CCUACGGGGGGCAGCAGUGGGGAAUAUUGCACAAUGGGGGAAACCCUGAUGCAGCGACGCCGCGUGAGUGAAGAAGUAUUUCGGUAUGUAAAGCUCUAUCAGCAGGGAAGAAAAUGACGGUACCUGAUUAAGAAGCCCCGGCUAACUACGUGCCAGCAGCCGCGGUAAUAAGUAGGGGGCAAGCGUUAUCCGGAUUUACUGGGUGUAAAGGGAGGGUAGACGGCAGCACAAGUCUGGAGUGAAAUGCCGGGGCUUAAACCCGGAACUGCUUUGGAAACUGUGCAGCUUGAGUGCAGGAGAGGUAAGUGGAAUUCCUGGUGUAGCGGUGAAAUGCGUAGAUAUUAGGAGGAACACCAGUGGCGAAGGCGGCUUACUGGACUGUAACUGACGUUGAGGCUCGAAAGCGUGGGGAGCGAACAGGAUUAGAUACCCCAGUAGUC